rnacentral:tRNA from 1 species
GAGGGUAUAGCUCAGUGGUAGAGCACAUGCUUAGCAUGCACAAGGUCCUGGGUUCAAUCCCCAGUACCAACU